rnacentral:lncRNA from 1 species
AGAGUUCAAAGAGCUGAAUUCCCAGCUUAGGUUAAAGUCAGUGUGAAGUGGCCCCACAUUCCACUCCCAGAAGCCUGAACAGACAGUUGCUUUGGCAUUGAGAAAAACAGAAGGAAGAGAUCAGAUGUAGGUGAGAGAUGAUAAUCAUAUGUCUGCCGUCACUCAGUUUCCCAUUGAAUGGUCAAAGCCAUUCUGAAGCCCCAAGAAGUUGAGAGUAGAUUGGUAGUUACCAGAGACCAAGAGAGUAGGGGUUUUCUGGGAAUGGAGGAGGGGUACUGAGGGCUUAAUCAUUGAGUUCUAAGUUACAGUUAAAUAGAGUGAAGGAGAUGAAGAGAGUUAUUACCCAAGGCAACUGCUAUAGAUGACAGAAAUGCUCUCAUUAUUUCAAAAAUCUUGGAGAAAGAAUCAUGAAUAUUUUCACCACCUAGAAUGACCAAUGUUUGAGGAGAUAUUUUCAGUCUGACUUAAAUAUUACACAAAGUAUAACGCUUCAAAAUAUCACAGCAAUAGAAGAUAUCAAGUUAUGAGCUUACUUAUGCCAUGUUAGUAAACUAACAAACACCUCCUUAGCAGAACCAAAUGCAGGCCCUCUUAUGACUUUAUACUAUGCACUACAAAAACGCUUGGAUCUCAACAUCCAUCUUUGAAUCUACUGAGGGCAAAUAAUUUGUUGCCUGUUGAGGUUAUGCAGGCUGUAAGAAAAUAUCAGGUCAAAGCAUACUCAUAUAAGGCAAUGGAUGACUGGGUGAGUCACGUGGAGCAUAAUCUAGACUUGUUUUUAAGAAACAUAUGCUCCGCCCAGGGAGUGGCACUAUUAGAAGGUAUGGCCCUGUUGGAGUAGGUGUGUCACUGUGGGUGUGUGCUUUAAGACUCUCAUCCUAGCUUCCUGGAAGGAGUAUUCUGCUAUCAGCCAUCAGAUGAAGAUGUAGAACUCUCAGCUCCUCUUACACCAUGCCGGCCUGGAUGCUGCCAUGUUCAUGACUUGAUGAUAAUGGACUGAACCUCUGAAGCUGUAAGCCAGCCCCAAUUAAAUGUUGUCUUUAUAAGAUUUGCCUUGGUCAUGGUGUCUGUUCAGAGCAGUAAAACCCUAAGACACAUAUGGUUGUAUCAGGUAGUAAGACUGGAAAAAGGAGAACAAAAACAAAAACAAACAAACAGGAAAGGAAGUGGGUGAGGGACAAAGAGAGGAAGAGAAAGAAAUGGAUAAACUCAACCAGAGAUGAUACAGAGCUGGAGAGAGUGAAAUGAGAGGUAGCCCAUGGGAGAGUAUAUGCAAGAAAAUGAUAUACUUAACAGAAAACGUAGACAUGCACAUCUGAGAGAGAGAGACAUGGUGGCUAAAGUAAGGGAUUUAGCUUGUGACAAAUUGAAAUCCGAGAAGAAAGGAAUAUAGAAUUUGUAAUAAAUAAAUAAAUAAAUAAAUAAAUAAAUAAAUAAAUAAAUAAAUAAGUGAUCACAUUGCAAAUUAGAAAUACAUAUCAUAUCUUGGUAAAAUUGCAGAAUAUCAAAUCCAAAGUCUUUAGAAAGAGUCAGAAGCGAAAAGCCUGGCAUCAUCAAAAAGAAAACAUUACCAUGGUCAAAAGGGAAACCCCAGAAGGUGCCACACACUCCGGUUGAGUCAGCUUGACAGGCCAAGAGGCCUGGAAGCACUUAAGAGGCAGAGAGUUUCACGGAAACUCAACUUCUGGAGUUUGGCGUUCUCAUUCAACCACAUACUCAUACACUAUUCCCGAGUUAGUCUGGUGUAUGGAUCCACGUGCUCUCUUUUAGUAUUAUCUUAUUAUAAGUGCCUUUUAAGAUUGAAUUCUGACAUAGCUAAGCCUUUGCCAGUGUUCUAAUGUCCUAGAAAGUCCUUGAGCUGACCAUGGGCUUGGAAUUCAGUAAGAAUGUUGCCUAUUCAGUGACAUUCAGAAUUGCCUCUGAUAUUACACUAUCACUUUGAAUAAAAACUAAGUGACUGCCCUACACAGGAAUUUACCAUCAUCUAGGAAGAAGGAAGUUUGAGACCUAAGGAGGAACCAGAGUAGAUACUUAGAACUAUAGAUGGCUGAGUUACACCCAUACACACAUAUUUACAAUGGCCUAGGGGGAAGGUAGACUAUACAAUAGACUAAAAUAGGAACUAUGGCAAGGGCAUGAAGCCCUUGACCCUGGCUUCUAAGAUUAAGUGGACCUUAGGUGGAGCUCUUUUUGAUCCCAGUUGUUAACAAUGAAUUCUAUCCCAGGUGGUUCCUGUCAGACCUUCUGUGUUUGCAUUCCUCUGUUUUGUGUAAGAAUCCAGUAACCUCUUUGUACCUUGUUGGUGUGUCACCCAACUUCCCUAUUUUCUUCUGUAUAAAAAGUUUGAUGCUUGAUUUGACAAAUUACAUUCAGAUUCUACACAACCUCUCCUGUGUUGGUCUGUCUGUCAUUCCCUCUGACGCUUUGCCCACCUGCCCCAUAGACCCGUUCUACACAGACAAUGGGAUCCAGAGGGUCUGCGGCAAGAAGGUCCAAUAACUUCAGAGUCUUCUGAAGUGUAUGCUAAGUGUGUGUGGCGGUACCUUCAGAGUCCAGAGGAAGGUAUCAGAUCCUGUGCAGCUGGAGGUACAAGUAGCCAUGUACAGCUCAGCACAGGAGCUGGGAAUGGAACUUGGCUCCUCUACAAAAGCAGUGUACAUUCUUCACCAUGGAAACAUUCUGACAAGCUUCCUGGAGAGCCUUAAAAAAUGGUCACCCUGUUUCUAAUGAAAACUUUGAAUAAACGAUGACUUAUAUAGGGAGAUAUAAGAAUGAAAACACAAAUAAAUUGUCAUAAUAGAGCACUGGUUUUAAUUAUAUUCAUUAGGUAUUAGUAUAUAUAGAAAUUUUAGAAAUAUAUAAGUAGGAUACAAAUAAAAGCAAACUGUAUCGAGUAGAGUUAAUAUAAUAAAAACUUGUACCAA